rnacentral:rRNA from 1 species
AGUGAACGCUGGCGGUAGGCCUAACACAUGCAAGUCGAACGGCAGCACAGUAAGAGCUUGCUCUUACGGGUGGCGAGUGGCGGACGGGUGCGGAAUACAUCGGAAUCUACUUUUUCGUGGGGGAUAACGUAGGGAAACUUACGCUAAUACCGCAUACGACCUCCGUGUGAAAGCAGGGGAUCUUCGGACCUUGCGCGAUUGAAUGAGCCGAUGUCGGAUUAGCUAGUUGGCGGGGUAAAGGCCCACCAAGGCGACGAUCCGUAGCUGGUCUGAGAGGAUGAUCAGCCAGACGGGAACUGAGAAACGGUACAGACUCCUACGGGAGGCAGCAGUGGGGAAUAUUGGACAAGGGGGGCAAGCCUGAUACAGCCAUACCGCGUGGGUGAAGAAGGCCUUCGGGUGGUAAAGCCCUUUUGUUGGGAAAGAAAAGCAGCAGGUUAAUACCCCGCUGUUCUGACGGUACCCAAAGAAUAAGCACCGGCUAACUUCGUG